UCCUUAGAUGUUCUGGGCUGCACGCGCGCUACACUGACGCACGCAACAGGUGCCUGCUCCGAGAGGACUGGGUAAUCAUUUGAGUGUGCGUCGUGAUGGGGAUAGAAUAUUGUAAUUAUUACUCUUCAACGAGGAAUUCCUAGUAAGCGCCAGUCAGCAGCUUGCGCUGAUUACGUCCCUGCCCUUUGUACACACCGCCCGUCGCUCCUACCGAUGGGUGAUCCGGUGAAUGAUUCGGACUUCAGCGGCUCCCCUGGGGUGCGCCGGAGAAAGUUUUGUGAACCUUAUCACUUGGAGGAAGGAGAAGUCGUAACA
rnacentral:rRNA from 1 species